rnacentral:rRNA from 1 species
AGGCGGGCUCGUAGGCAUCCUGUGAAAUCCCACCGCUCGACGGUGGAACUGCAGGGUGAACCACGAGCCUUGAGGCAGGUAGGGGCUGACGGAACCAUGGGUGGAGCGGUGAAAUGCGUAGAUAUCCAUGGGAACGCCGAUGGGGAAGCCGGUCAGCUGGGCCUGUUCUGACGCUCAUGCACGAAAGCGUGGGGAGCAAACAGGAUUAGAUACCCUGGUAGUCCACGCCGUAAACGAUGUGCACUAGAUCGGGGCGGUUCUGACACCGUCUCGGUCGAAGGAAAACCGUUAAGUGCGCCGCCUGGGGAGUACGGUCGCAAGGCUAAAACUCAAAGGAAUUGACGGGGGCUCACACAAGCGGUGGAGCAUGUUGCUUAAUUCGAGGCAACGCGAAGAACCUUAUCCUGGGCUUGACAUGCACGGAUUAGCCGUUGGAAACAUCGGUGACGCCCUUGGGUGGAACGUGCACAGGUGCUGCAUGGCUGUCGUCAGCUCGUGCUGUGAAGUGUCGGGUUAAGUCCCUUAACGAGCGCAACCCCUGUCGUUAGUUGCUAACGGGUGAAGCCGAGUACUCUAACGAGACUGCCGGUGUCAAACCGGAGGAAGGUGGGGAUGACGUCAAGUCCUCAUGGCCUUUAUGUCCAGGGCUGCAAACGUGCUACAAUGGCGCGGACAGAGCGAAGCGAUCCCGCGAGGGGGAGCAAGUCGCAAAAACCGCGCCCCAGUUCGGAUUGCAGGCUGCAACUCGCCUGC